rnacentral:rRNA from 1 species
GGAAAGAUGAAAAGAACUUUGAAAAGAGAGUUAAACAGUACGUGAAAUUGUUGAAAGGGAAACGAUUGAAGUCAGUCAUAUCAACGGGAAAUCAACCUUUUGAGCUUGGUCUCGUGGGUUUCGAAGAGUUUCAAAGCCUUCGGAUUCGCGAGAUUGGGAUCUCUCGGUGUACUUUCUCGUACGGUUAGUCAACAUCGGUUUUGAAUGUCAUAAAAUGACUGGAGGAAUGUAGCUUCGAUCUCGUAUUGAAGUGUUAUAGCCUUUGGUAGAUGUGAUGUUUGAGACCGAGGAUUGCAACGGAUACCCUUCAGGGCUAUUCGUCUGAUCUCUGAUACGUUGCCUUGAUGUUGAAAGCUUGCUUAUGAUGUUAGGGUAUUACGGUCAAAAGGUUAGAACGAAUUACAUUCGUUAAGGAUGUUGACGUAAUGACUUUAAACGACCCGUCUUGAAACACGGACCA